AAAAUGCAUAUUUUAAUUAAAAUUUUUUUUUCUAGUUCAUCAUAGAAAGUGUUUAUGUUAAAAAUAAGUAACAAUUAUUUUUAUCUUGUUACAGGGAGCAACUAUUCAAAAAAAUGGAAGAAUCAUUCACCAUCAAGAAAGUGAUCUUCUUUGGAGGUUAGGCCUCGUUAGUCCUGAAGCUUACAAGAUUAAUACCGGAUCACGAUCUGCUCCCAGUAAUCAAGGUGCAUAUUUGAAAACACCAAGCUAUGAUUUGACUGAAGAACAAUUGAUGGCAAAUAUUGAAAAAGAAUUUGAAUGCAUAUCUUAAAGAAAAAAGAAGCAUCAUUGCAACAAACAAAUGGCGAAUCAGCUUCAUUAACAUUUCACUGGUAAAGUGUGACCCAUCAGCUACUUAAUUAGAUUGGGGAUGAGUUUAUAUUUGGUAAUUAGUAUGUUCGAUUUAUGUUCGAAGUAAUGGACAAUGUGGUACUUUCUUUACAUAUCAGUUUUAUAUGCUUUGUAUAUAAUUACAUGUUGUAUCGUUAACAUUAUCAACUUUGCAAUAUUUCAUCCACAUUGUUUUUUCUGUAAUUUAAAUUGUGGUUCUCGUAUUCCAUUCUUUUUUUAUUGCAUCUGUAUUUUAAGACUAGAGAGCGUUUAUUGACUGAACCAAUUUUCUGGAUUAAUUUGACUAAUUAAGUUGCAGUUAAUAAUAUGAUAAUAAUCUUACUGCUACCUAACUGAAAGCAAUCUCAUUAAGAGCUUGUCUGGUGAUCAUCACUGUCAUUGAACAAGAAUAGUAUGGUUUAAAAAACCACAACAGAAAUUCAAUCACAGGAGAAUUUUGAACAUCUUAUUUUUAUAUAAUCGAGAGAGGAGAGACGGCUCUUUUCUGCGAAAGCUAUUUCAUGCGUUAAAUAUAUGUGACAACCACUUGUAUUUAGAUCAUUGCAAAGUGGAAAGACUCUAUUUAAAGGAACUUUAAUGAUUAUGACUCUAGAAAUUGUCAUUUUUCUCAUUUUAGAGUCAAUAGAUGUUGUCAGCAUAUAAUUUAUUAAUAAAAGUUUAAAUAGAAAAAAUUAAAUAUCUAUAAUUUAUUAAUAAAAAAAGGUACUCACAUUCGAAAUUGAGAAAUGGUAUUUAAACAGAGGAAUGCAAAAAAACUACCGAACUCUUGCGUAACACUAAUGAGGAAAGCGGGACUAAAAACAUCAAAAUCUGUUGUUGAACAAAGAGAAGUUGAAAGGCUAUCUCAAGAAACAUUGUUUCAUCAGGCAAACUUGUCUUGAUAUUUUUCAUUUGAUAUUCAUCCCUAGUGAUUCAGUGGAUUUUGAAGGGUUUUUAUUUUUUCCUUGUUAAAGAUUAAUUUGCAAUCUUUAAUGUGCGUCAAUUUCUUAUAUUAUUUUUGUCAAAGAUUCUAACAAUAUAUUUUAAGGGAGUUGACUACAAAAUAGCAUACAUAUAUUCAUGUAAUAUCUUCUGCAACCAGCCUAUUUGUAGUUUUCAAAAACCAAUUUGCUUUCUCCUGUAAUAAUAACGAACAUAUUUUUAAAAAAAAUAUUUCUCAAUUCAAGAUUCAUAAAAUGGUAAGGUUAGCAACAAUUCAACCGCAAUUACAACUCACAUGAUUUGAAGAGGGUUAUUUUUUUAUAUUACUCAUCGUUUAAUCUAAACACAAAACGCACUCUAGUUUUCGUAUUUGCUCUAUAAUUUUAAGAAUUGAAUUAUUAAUCACAUUGACAUGGGACGAAGUACCGAUGCAUUAGAAAUACAGCUUCUGUAUUCAUUUAGUUUCCAAUUUAAUAUUUAGUAUCACUACCUGAAAUAACGGCUAAACUAAUAGUGAGCUUAAUCCAGAGUCUAUUCAGAAGUAUGACUUGUAUUAUUGGAACUGGUUCAUUUCAUUAAUGAUGCUAUAUUGUGUGCAUAAAAAAUGACAUCUUGGUGAAGAAAAAUUUAACUUUGUGCUGUGUAUGAAUAAAGCUAAGCAAAGUGAAACUAAGCAUAAAUGUAUCACAUAAACAUGCUCUAGUAUCGGUUAUGUAAUAAAAGAUCUUUAUUAAAAAUAAGUGUAUUCUGGUAUAGGUUCUGUAAUAUCUUGUUCUUAAAGAGUUCUUCGAACUAUCGCCAAUGAGCUUACAAAACUAUCAUUCUUAACCAUGAGCUAUAUUGAAUUCCCUCCUAAUCUAAGGCUAGUGCAAAAGUUUUAUGUUUACGUUUUAUACUAUUAUAAAUUAAUUUGCUAGCACCCGCGCAUUUCACAAUAAGAAAAAUUUAAUAUGAAAUUAAAUAAUAAAUGAAUUGAACUUUCUCUUUCUCCUUUGUGCUCACACCAUGUUUAGUUUUAAUUAUGUCCCUCAAACAUCAUUGACUCUCUAAAAUCGAUUCGAUAUGUAGAAAAUUAAUCACACAACCCAAUAACCUCUCUAAUUCAAACUAUUAAAGUUUGAUUUAGCUUAUUAUUUGGAAAUAGGUCCCCAGAAUAAUAAAGUUUUGAAUAAAUUUGAGCCAUUUUUCUUCUCUCUCCACUCUCCAUUACUGAGUUUGUGAUCAUAAAUUUUGAGUUUUCAACUGUUAAAAUCAUAUUCAGCAUUGCUCUCUAUCCAUUUAUUUAGAUUUGCUGGAACCAUUUCAUACUUUUGAAAGUUCUAACAACUUAGUUAAUUACCUUUUUUAGUAUCCUAUUCCUUCCUAUUGUUUGGAUACCUACUUUCUUUUAAUUUUUAUCUAUUUAAACACCUGAAGUUCUCCCCCUCCCCUAUCACACUUGUUUUUUUACCAUUCUUCUUUUGUUUACUUACCCUAUUUAAGUUUGUUCACACACCUCAAUAGUUCCACCUGCCCAUUUCAAUUCUGAAAUUUGAUUUUGUGAUUUUCUUCGGCAACUAUUUCAAUCCGUGUUUGAACUCAAAAGAUUUUCAUUACCGAAUCGAAACGUUUACAUGAUAUUACAUGUACUUUUUUUUCACUAUCUUUAGCUUUAUUUAUAAAAAAGGCGUCUCAUGUUGUUAUAUUUUACAAAAUUUCUUUCCUGAUACAUCAGUCAACACUUGUACAUUUUCCCCUAAUUGUCUGUAAGAAAGUCUAUAAUAGUUUCAUAGAUAUAGUGGAACUAGAAACAUUUGUAAAUAUUAUAUGUAAAUACGUUCAGCUUUAUAACUGGAGAGUAAAUUGUCUUCCUUUGAAUGGGGUUUGGCGACGAGAUUUUAUUUAUAGUCUUGUGCCAAUUAGUGAUGAUAUUUCGAGGACACUAUUUGAAUAUAGUAUAUUAAAGGUGAAUGUUGUAUGUAAAUUAUAAAUAUUUAUAUGCGUAAAGUUGUGUACAUAGCAUUAUUUGUUGAAUUUGAAUUACUGUAUAGUGUAGUUAUUGUGAACUAAAUUGUCUUAAUAUUCUAAAUAAAUUUCAUUUUUCUUUAUAAUCUCUGAA